GUUCUUAAGAAAUGUUGCUCAUUUUCCAUAUGAGAAUUCUGCCUCCUAUCACUAAAACAGGACCACCUGCUGCCCAAGGACAUCUGUUAAGCUAUAGAGUUGAACUAACUUCCAUCAUGCAAAAGAGAGAUUGGACUGCUCACUUUCCUCCAGUGACUGGAAAAUGGUUACCAAGUGGGGGGGAAUUGGCAUAUGUGAUCUGUUUCUACUGUGCUGCUUGACUAGGUACUGAUAAUUCAGCAAUCUGACAGGCUAUGGCUUGGGAGAACAGCACAGUCAUCUUAGAUUAUCUCUUUUAGCCUAAAACACAACAAGAGAAAUAUAAGAAAUUGUGACUGAAGUGAAAAUAAAAUAAAAUAAGUAAAAGCA
rnacentral:lncRNA from 1 species